GACGAACGCUGGCGGCGUGCUUAACACAUGCAAGUCGAACGGAAAGGCCCUGCUUGCAGGGUACUCGAGUGGCGAACGGGUGAGUAACACGUGGGUGAUCUGCCCUGCACUUCGGGAUAAGCCUGGGAAACUGGGUCUAAUACCGGAUAGGAGCCAUUUUUAGUGUGAUGGUUGGAAAGUUUUUUCGGUGUAGGAUGAGCUCGCGGCCUAUCAGCUUGUUGGUGGGGUAAUGGCCUACCAAGGCGGCGACGGGUAGCCGGCCUGAGAGGGUGGACGGCCACAUUGGGACUUGGAUACGGCCCAGACUCCUACGGGAGGCAGCAGUGGGGAAUAUUGGACAAUGGGCGCAAGCCUGAUGCAGCGACGCCGCGGGGGGGAUGACGGCCCUCGGGUUGUAAACUCCUUUCGCUAGGGACGAAGCUUUUUGUGACGGUACCUAGAGAAGAAGCACCGGCUAACUACGUG
rnacentral:rRNA from 1 species